CAGCAGCCGCGGGAAUACGUAGGGUGCGAGCGUUAAUCGGAAUUACUGGGCGUAAAGCGUGCGCAGGCGGUUGUGUAAGACAGGUGUGAAAUCCCCGGGCUUAACCUGGGAACUGCGCUUGUGACUGCACAGCUAGAGUAUGGCAGAGGGGGGUGGAAUUCAACGUGUAGCAGUGAAAUGCGUAGAGAUGUGGAGGAACACCGAUGGCGAAGGUAGCCCCCUGGGCCAAUACUGACGCUCAUGCACGAAAGCGUGGGGAGCAAAUGGGAUUAGAUACCCCCGUAGUCCCUGUCUCUUAUAA
rnacentral:rRNA from 1 species